GAAGAUUAUCUCACUGGGUACAUGGAACUUAGAAACUGGGAGCUGUGGACCGGGGAAGGAAAGAAAUUCUGGCUUCAGAGAAAGAAGCAUGAAGCAGAAAGGAACAGAGGUGAACGAUUGAGAGAGUUUGGGGAAAUCCAAAAAUCUGACUCGCUGUAGCGUCCCUCCGCUGGUCCUCUGGGGCUCACAGGGAACCUGCGCUCAGUCUUCUGCUGAAUUGUUUCUCUCUGCCUCAAACACCCUCGGGUCCUUCAACUGCCCCCUUUUGGAUAUGAUCUAGAAUGCCACCCCCAUUUUACACUGCCCCGGAGUUGUCUCUAGCCUCUUUGGAGUGGAGUCCACUGUGGAUCCAAUCCGGCAUCCCACAUUGCAUGUGGUUGCCACAUCUCCUUAGUCUCCUCCAAUCAGUGGCAACUGUACAGCCUCCUUGUCUUUCGUGACCACUUUUGAAGAGCAGCAGUCAGGCACUGAGCUCAGGGCCCACACACAGUAGGGGCUUAACAAACGCUGUGGAAAGGCAGGAAGAAAGCAGAUUAGCUUCUGCAAGAGGCAUGGAGAAGAAUGUUCUGAAGGCAUUUUGUGACUCCCAGCACCUUUCAAAGCUCAGAAAAUCAUUUUAAAAACCGAUGACUGUGAAAUUUCAAUUAUAUUCACAAGGAGGGCCAGAGUAAGCUGCAAGAAGCAUAGAACAGUGGCUGUGCAUUUCACCAGCGGAAAGAGCCUGCAAGAAGAACAAGCAGGAUGGGGACCAGCCUUGAAGCCAGACCCAGCUGUUUCCAAAGACCAGUCACACAUGAGCAGACCCAAAUUCACAGCCCUUGGAAGAAGGGACAGCUCCAUGGACAUUAGAAGUCUAUGAGGAUGGCUUAAAGAAAUAAGCCGUCCUCUGGGGAGGCAAAGGGAGGGGAGGUCGUUAAAAGGAAGUCAGGCCUGAAAGAAACAAGGCUCCGAGCCAGGAAGCCACCUGCUGAAGCAGCCUGGCAUUGUGGAGCAAGCGCUGGAGGUGGAGCAAGGAGACCUGGAUUCCAGACCCUGCUUCUGUCACCUUGCGGUGGAAGUAACUCUAAGCAAAUCAGAGCUCAGUUUUGUCAUCCGUGAAGUGGGGAUCACUCUUCCGUACCCCACCGAGUCGUCAUGAGAAGUAAAUGAGACCACGUAUACAAAGGCUUCCAGUUCAGCUCCAGAUACACCAGCAUGAGUGAUUGAAUAUGAAUUUUAACUGGAUCUAAUGAUGUGACCCAUAGCUCCUCUCUACCCAAGUUGGAUAGUCUGUGAUGUAACAGACCUCAUAGCUUGAGUAAGGGAACAUCUGGGGCCAUUUCCCCAGGCCAGAGAGUACUAGCAGCCCCCAGCUGGGAUGUUUCUGACAGCUCUGGGUUAAGGCUCCUGCAGAAGCCUCCAGCAGCUGGGCAGGAAUGAGGGAUGACCCCCUGCCCAGGCACACCUCUCCCCCGGAGACAGGCUUGGGCUGAUGCAUGGCCCCUGUAAACGUAGCUGCUGGUUAGUGUAAUGUGAUGGAGAGCCAUUAACGUGAGGAUUGGCUGGGAGGAAAUGAAAUAGUAGGGGUGAGAAGGGGAAAUGACAGGGAAUUUGCCUGCUGGGAGAUGUUGAAAGGGGAAGGAUGGGGACAGUCCAAGUGCAGGGAACUACAGUGCCCAAGAUAAGAAGGCAGAACACGCAAAGGUGUUGGGGGAGUGGCCAGGAGCCCCAGGGAAUGUGUAGAAAAAAGAGGAAGGUCAUGCAAAAUCCCAUUCAUCCUUCAAGGGCAGUGCCAAGUGUCCCUUCUUCCAGGAAGAUGUUUCUGACCUGCUCUCUGUGGCUGUGCUCCUGCUCCCAAAUGGCAACUGAUCAUAUUCUUUCAAAUCCCUCCAGUCUGGCCCCAGGUAGACUUCAUUCUCCAAACUCAGCCCUACCACCCAUCUCCAGACCUUUCUUCCACUCGGAGUGCCUUCCAUGCGCCCAUUUUCACCUGGCAAUUCCUUUCAUAUCCUCCUAAGCCAACUCAAAUGCCACCUUUUCUAGGACACGACCCCAGACCAUCCCCCUGCAUCCUUGGAAUAUUUUGCCUGCUUGGAGGCUUCCUUAUGUUUUUCACCAUGUUGUACCACCAUUCAUUCAAAACAAACAUUUACUGAGAGUGGAUACAUAAAGCAUGGCAUAUGCAUACAGUGGAACCCCACUCAGCAAUAAAAGGUAAUGAUUACUAAUACA